rnacentral:lncRNA from 1 species
UUUGUUUUAAGGAGAGGUAAAGGUAACGUAAAGGGAAUCGAAUUAUAGAGUGUCACAACUCCGUAUUGCGAAAUUCCAAUAUUGUUUGGUUCGACUGUGUAAUGAAAAUAGGUACAUUGCAGCAAAUUGUGUGGUGGCGAGGGUAAAGUUGGGGCGGCAACAAACAUGGAUGACGGUGAGGGACAACAGCGAUGGAUACAAUGCGAUGGGGCUGCGACCAAGGAGGAGGAGGAGGAGGAGAAGGCGCAUGUCCGUGAGUUUACUCAACGACCAUCGGAGAUAGGCACAUGCGGCUCGAGCACGGCGAGGUUGGCUUAUUUUGGGAACGGCGGGAGAAGAGAGGAUACCUAGAUGAGAUGUAGGUCGUGCCCGGAGGAUCGCAUGGCGCGGAUGUUAGGGCAUAUUUAUCAAUUAGUUGUUUUAAUGAUUGACGACGGUGCUUUUGCGGACUAAUCGUAUGCAUUGAUCAUUUCAGAUAAUCUAUCAUAUGGCACAAGAUGAUUUGUGUCCCUCGGAGUUUUAAAA